UCCCUGGUGGUCUAGCAGCUAAGGAUCUCCCACUCUCACCGCUGCGGCCCGCGUUCGAUUCCCGGACAGGGAA